CUCAUCCUCUAGCCUUAGAGGCAGUUCUUAGCAAAACAUAGGGAAUGUGUGUACAGUUCUAACCUGGGGGGAAAUCAACUUAAUGACUUAAGAGUUGCAACAAAGUCAGCAUUGGACUUUGGGAAGAGCUGGGCUGAUCUCAUAGAUGCCAGACCUUUUAUCAAAGAGCUAAAGAACAUGUUUGUUUGUUUGUUUGUUUUGUUUUGUUCGGAACCGGGAUCAAAGUUUGUUUGUUACAGUUCUGAUUUGAACUAAAGCCUUUGAACUAAGCUAUAUCCCCAGAUCAUUUUAUUGUUUUAUUUUGAGAUAGCAUCUCACAAAGGCACUAAACUUCCAAAUCUGGGCUCUAACUGGUGAUCCUCCUACCUCAGGCAUCCAACAUGCUGUGAUUACAGAUGUGUUUCACCAUGCUUGGCUUUAAACAACUAUUUUGUUGUACAUUUCAAUCAGAUCUAAGUAACCACUAUGAUAAUAGACACAAUAUCACCAAGCACUUGUUUUCUCAGCUAUAUAGUGAAAGCACUGAUUUUUAGGGUUUCUUCCCACUCUAAAGUAUUAUGCUUCCUUGUCAAGGGUCAGAGACAAUGACUGUCUUCAUUCUCUUCACUUGUUCUUGAACAGAGCUCACUCUACUCUUGAUGAAGACUUGGAAAGAUGGCUACAGCCACCUGAAGAGAAGAACAUAGAGCUACAGGACCUCUGCAAAGUCUUUAAAAGGGACGCAGAAACCAAGGAUCAAGACUUUGGUGAAAAGAGGACCAAAAGGAAAGAAAGCAUCAAGCCAGAGAUAAGGAAAUCAGAGAACUUUUUAGGGAUUUGUGACGAAGAUGAACUAAAACCUUGUUUUUGGAAGCGACGGGGUUGGUCUGAACCAUCAAG
rnacentral:lncRNA from 1 species